ensembl:lncRNA
CAAAAACAAAGCGUGGGUCAGCAGUAAUUGUGCCCAGUGCCCAGCAGCCCUCCCGCCCAGGGAGCUCUGAUUGUGUUUAUACUCCUACAGUCACAGCGAGGGAUUUUCUCCAUCUGGGGUUUGAUUUGAAGGAGUUUCAGAGUUUUUUUUGUUUUCAACCAAAGCAAGGAUUUUCUAAAUUUUGGAAUAUCAGUCUGUCAGUAAAGAUUUCUUCUGAGAACAACUCUUAAGACUGAAGAUGUCUUUAAAGAGGCGCCUGCUGUCCAUGUUGUUGUGCUGUGUUUACUGCGUGGCCUCGCUCUUCUGCCUCCAUCCAAACCGCAACAACUGCUUCUCUGCCGGAGCUCGGAAUCUGGUGUCAGUUGUCCAACAGCUUUACCAGCGAGCCAUUCGGCUGCUGCGCACCACUCUGUGAUUCCACACCACUUCCUGUGCCUGAACAAGUAAGGCUGGAUUUCAUCAAGAAUGCCCUCUAGAAGAAGAAACAGAGGAAAUGCAUCCCUAAACUUUCGGACUGCAGAGUUUCCAUUCACUCAGUUUCCCUUGAAUUUGGCUCCAACUGCCCGUUUUUGUUUAUUAUUGAUAUUUUCCAACUAUAUUUUAAAUGUAGAGGAGAAGAAUACCUAGCCAAUGUAUAUUUUUCUACUGAUGAAGUUUAGCAUUGUGGAUAUUUGCUGUUUGACAUGUGAGUGAUGUGGAAAGGACAUCAGCAGUCCUCUUUUAAAAGCAUUUAAGGGGUUUACUGCAGUUUUUUUAAUUUACAUAAAAGAAUCUGGGUAGCCGAAAAUUUGCUGAUUUAAAUUCCGGGAGGCUCUGUGAGUUGUAAUGUUUGAAAUGCAAGCGCAAACUUUCUUCCCUCUGCUAAUAACUACCAAAGAGCUGUUUUUGUGUUCUGUUUCUACUGUAUCCUGUGAUGUAAGUGCUGUCUUCACAGGUUCAAAAUGCAGGAAAAUCCACAAGAAACAGAGGAGCAUGAUGCUCCUGAAAAGGAAAGAGAAUGAUAAAAACAAGACAGUAGAUCAUAAUCAAAACCCAGUGAAUGCAACCUGGACUAACUACUAAAGCUUAAACACUGCAGUAACACUUGGCUCAUUCAUUGCAAAUAUGUGCCACGGUUGUACAAGAAACAUAAGCCUUAGACAUGUUAGCUGAACCAUGUUGCCCUUAUGCCCUUUACUCCUAUUACGUAAGUGAAACUGUAGAUCAACAUUUCAUCAUAUGAAAAAUUUCAGGUGUCAUAUUUUGAAAGGUAAUGUCAUUUGUGCACAGCAUUUUUAUUUGUGUCCCUAAUGGAAGUAUGUUUUCAUGCUGUGCAGCUACCUGAUGAGCAACUCUCAGGUGCUUAAAGCACCAAACAGAUGCAGUUUGAGGGGGGUGGGUACUUUUUUUUAAUGCUAAAGUAAUGGGAGUGAAUUUAUUUUGUAACACUUGCAGGUAGUGAAGGUAGUUAGGUUGCAUGGGUAAGUUUAAAUACAACGGGUCAACCAUGCAAACCAACAGCCAUUAGACAAUGCACAAGAGAGGUGAGGAAGAGAGCACAGGCAGAGUCGAGGAGGUGGGCGUAGAUGACUGUCAGGGGUGAUUUUUGGCUAAAGGAUAGCAAAAAGAGUGAAAGGGAAGGUUUACAAGAUGGUAGUGAGGCCUACUCUGAUGUACAGUUUUGAAAUGGUAGCACUGCCGGGAGGCAGAGCUGAAGAUUUACAUCAGGAAUGAAAGGAUUAGAAAUGAGUAAAUCAGAGUGACAGCUCAGACAAAGUUACAAAGAGAAGGCUGAGAUGGUUUGGACAUGUACAGAGGAGGGAUAGUGCAAGUACUGGACAAAGGAUGUUGAAUAUGGAGCUGCCAGGCAGGAGGGAAAUAAGACUGCAGAGGAGGUAGUGAAGGCGGACGUGUAGAGGGUUGGCGUCAAAGACGAGGAUAUGGAUUAGGUGAGAUGGGGGCAGAUGAUCUGAUAUGUCAACCUCAAGCUGCUUCUUCUGGAGCAGCCAGAAGAAGAAGAAAACAAACACUUUAGCAUUAGAGCAGUUAGGUGUGAAAGAAUCCAACAGGAAAUCAUAAUAAAAUAAGAAAGAAAACUUUGCAUCGUAUGUAAAAUCAAUUUCAUUAAGAAAUCGGAAAAAAAUAAAAACUUGGGUUGUUUCAAGUUGCCGAUUUUAUGUUUUAUUGAGAAUGGAGUCUCUCAUCUGUUGCAAACACGCAAGAAAAAAAAAAAUGCCGAAUAUGUGUUGCCAUACAACUGAGAGCACAAAGAUAAAGGAGUAAGGGUUCAUUAAAGAAAUAUGAUGAUGAAAACGCUAGGGUGUGAUUAAAUAUAUCACAGUUUGAAUGCUGUGGAUGGAUUUUAAUUUAAUGUGCUACCUGAAAAGAUAUUAGAAAACUAUGUACUUUUCUUACUUUUGUAUGACUGCGUGUUUCACACUGUUCAGGGGAAGACCUGUUCCACAGUACAACUCCAAUAAAACAAAUUCAGCUUUCCUGAAGAUCUAUCAGCUGUGGUGGUUAAUUAUAUAUUUGUAUAGAUGAACACCCAAUAAACAUUUAGAAAUAAGUGCAACAACAGUAAACCAUCAGUAGCCUAGCUAAAUCACUAG